CCCGAUGGCUGGCAAGGCGACGACUUCUGCAGUUGGAUAUGCUAUUCUCCAUUCCAUGGAAGAGGUGAUUCUGGUACUAUAUCUGGAUCUUCAAGGAGUGCAGCUUGUUUCCCAUAAAAUACUUUGCCAUAAGGGCUGAGUUCUCGGACUUCCUCACGUAGCCAGUUCCCAAAGUUUCCUGGUUCCAAGAAUGAAGAGAACUACCUCAGCAAUAAAGCCUCGCCCAAGAACGAGGAUCAGACUGGCGCCCUUAGCUUCUUUCAGCCUUGUGCGAAGAUAUGCUCCAUGACGAUACGUGAUCCAAAGACCACCGGGCCUAUUCCAAUAGAGAGCAAGGAGAAGCCCAACAAGGGAGGGACAAUACAGAUUACCAAAAGGUACUUAAGAGCGAAGGAUAUAGGGUAAUAUUAUAAGGGUAGGGGCGAAAAGAGAAAAGCGGCUAUAAGGAUUGUCAGGGGAAAGGAAACUCAGUAAUUAGGGUUUUUGUGGAAGACUCGAGAAGGGUAUAUAACUGUAGUCGCAGAGGUACCAGUCAACUUUUCUUUCCGAAUUUAGGGUUUCGGAGAGACGACAAGAGGGAACAGAGGAAGGUGUGGGAUUAAAGACUUGGGCGAUUCAACCCAAAAUGCGGAAACAGAGGCUGAGAAUGGCUGAGAGAGAUUACCAAGGAGACAGGGAAUUUUAAGGAAGCUUGCUGAGGGUGAAACGAUUCAAAAUAGCUUCGAUGCUAUUAAACCGACUGGAAGCUACCAUGCGGUAGGGAAGAGCC